AACCGUCUUCACCGGACGGUGUUGGACGAUACAACAAACGUCCAACACCGUCCGGUAAAGGAACUGG
rnacentral:pre_miRNA from 1 species